GAAUGAAUAUACGGUUUAAGCAAGACAGUUAUCCUGCUAACAAUAAAAGUGAGGUUAAAAUUUAAUUGGAAAAUUUAGCUUCACGUUAUGUUGCCAUAGAAAUCACCAGAUGUAUGUUUAAAUGAUUUGUUAAUCGACGUAGACUAACGAAUAAAAGGAAAAACAAUCCAACUUUGUGGUAGAAAGCAGUUGUGGCAAAAUUUUUGUUUUUUCAAUGGUGAAUCAUAAGAGUAAAUUCCUUUUGACUAAAACGAAUAAUGUUAUACGUUUCAGCACCAAAAUUAUUGGUGACGAAAUCGAGGAAGUAUCACAUCAGAGUCCUCCAGCAACGAAGGGUGGCUACUGCUAAUUAAUUAAUUAAUUAAUAUUAAAUAGUUUGAUAUUUUGCUUUGUAAUCAAUAAUAAAAAAGUUUAAAAUCUU